UAUUUUAAAAUAAUCCCUCUAACAAUUGUAUAGACAACCACAAUUAGAACGUCCAGGAACUUUAGGAUCGUCAAAGCAUUUUCCAACUCCAUUGUAUCCAGAAAAGCAGCUUAAACGACAAUCGACAAGAUCACAAAAAUUUCCCUUGUCAAUCGUCGUAUGGCAUCGCUUCCCCUCAUCACAUUCAACCAUUAAAAGAGCUACAAGAGUAAAACAUCGUGUUAUUAACACAAAAAAAAAUCUUAUACAUAAUGUAAAUCAGAACC
rnacentral:sRNA from 1 species